AACGAACGCUGGCGGCAUGCCUAACACAUGCAAGUCGAACGAGACCUUCGGGUCUAGUGGCGCACGGGUGCGUAACGCGUGGGAACCUGCCCUUAGGUUCGGAAUAACUCCCCGAAAGGGGUGCUAAUACCGGAUAAUGUCUUCGGACCAAAGAUUUAUCGCCUUUGGAUGUGCCCGCGUUGGAUUAGCUAGUUGGUAGGGUAAAAGCCUACCAAGGCGACGAUCCAUAGCUGGUCUGAGAGGAUGAUCAGCCACACUGGGACUGAGACACGGCCCAGACUCCUACGGGAGGCAGCAGUGGGGAAUAUUGGACAAUGGGCGAAAGCCUGAUCCAGCAAUGCCGCGUGAGUGAUGAAGGCCUUAGGGUUGUAAAGCUCUUUUACCCGGGAUGAUAAUGACAGUACCGGGAGAAUAAGCCCCGGCUAACUCCGUG
rnacentral:rRNA from 1 species